AGCGAACGCUGGCGGCAGGCCUAACACAUGCAAGUCGAACGAACUCUUCGGAGUUAGUGGCGGACGGGUGAGUAACACGUGGGAACGUGCCUUUUGGUUCGGAAUAACUCAGGGAAACUUGUGCUAAUACCGAAUGUGCCCUUCGGGGGAAAGAUUUAUCGCCAUUAGAGCGGCCCGCGUCUGAUUAGCUAGUUGGUGAGGUAACGGCUCACCAAGGCGACGAUCAGUAGCUGGUCUGAGAGGAUGACCAGCCACACUGGGACUGAGACACGGCCCAGACCCCCUACGGGGGGCAGAGGGGGGGAACCUGGCGAAAGGGGCGAAAGCCUGACGCAGCAAGGCCGGGGAAAUGAGGAAGGUUUUAGGAUUUAAAAAUUCUUUCACCGGGGACGAAAAGACCGGUACCCGGAAAAGAAGCCCCGGCAAACUUCGG
rnacentral:rRNA from 1 species